CAUCGAUGCCCUUCCUGGGCGUUUCCUCCCUGUAAACUUGGCCGCGCUGUAUAGCGCGGCCUUUUUUUUUUCGUAC
rnacentral:sRNA from 1 species